GGGCGAUUAGUUCAGUUGGUUCAGAACACCUGCCUUACAAGCAGGGGGUCAUCGGUUCGACUCCGGUAUCGCCCA
rnacentral:tRNA from 2 species